UACAUAGGGUGCAAGCGUUGUCCGGAUUUACUGGGCGUAAAGAGCGUGUAGGCGGUAGGAUAAGUCAAACUUUAAAAUCUCUUGGCUCAACCAGAGAUCGGGUUUGAUACUGUCUUGCUAGAGAAUGGGAGAGGAAAGUAGAACUAACAGUGUAGCGGUGAAAUGCGUAGAUAUUGUUAGGAAUACCCGUGGCGAAGGCGGCUUUCUGGACCAUUUCUGACGCUGAGACGCGAGAGCGUGGGGAU
rnacentral:rRNA from 1 species